UUACCAAAAACACAGGUCUAUGCUAAAUCGAAAGAUGACGUAUAUGGGCUGACGCCUGCCCGGUGCUGGAAGGUUAAGAGGAGAUGUCAGGCAACGAAGCAUUGAAUCGAAGCCCCAGUAAACGGCNNAAGGUAGCGAAAUUCCUUGUCAGGUAAGUUCUGACCCGCACGAAUGGCGUAACGAUUUGGGCGCUGUCUCAACAGCCCACCCGGCGAAAUUGUUGUACUGGUGAAGAAGCCAGUUACCCGCAACUAGACGGAAAGACCCC
rnacentral:rRNA from 1 species